UCCAAUAGUUCAGUGGUUAGAGCGUCCGCCUCGGAUGCGGGAGGUCGUGGGUCCCAUCCCGGCCCGGCCGAG